AUACGUAGGGAGCGAGCGUUGUCCGGAUUUACUGGGUGUAAAGGGUGCGUAGGCGGCUGAGCAAGUCAGGUGUGAAAACCAUCGGCUUAACUGAUGGACUGCAUUUGAAACUGCUUGGCUUGAGUGGAGCAGAGGCAGGCGGAAUUCCCGGUGUAGCGGUGAAAUGCGUAGAGAUCGGGAGGAACACCAGUGGCGAAGGCGGCCUGCUGGGCUUUAACUGACGCUGAGGCACGAAAGCAUGGGUAGCAAACAGGAUUAGAUACCCUGGUAGUCCAUGCCGUAAACGAUGAUUACUAGGUGUGGGUGGUCUGACCCCAUCCGUGCCGGAGUUAACACAAUAAGUAAUCCACCUGGGAAGUACGACCGCAAGGUUGAA
rnacentral:rRNA from 1 species